AUGAGGAAAGGAUUAUUCCACACCAAGGAGGAAUAUAUCUUCUUUGGAGAAGAAAAUAGGCUGAAAGUAUUUCAGCCAAAUACAUCCAAUUUCAAGCCAAAGGCUCAUAUCAAGCUUGAUGAAGUUCAACGCUGCAUAUUGGAUAAUUUUUGGUUCCAAUAUACCACCAAAAGAGAAGAAAUGGGAUAUAUGUUAUCAAUUCUGAAUAGCUUGGUAGAAUAUUUUAGCGAACUAAACAAAAAAUUGCCAAAUCCAAAAGAGACUGAAAUACCAAAAGGAGAAACACUAUAUCUUAUAUUUUAUGAAAAUAAACCUGGCAUAUAUUUGGAAUGGGAAAAAUAUUGUGAUUGA
rnacentral:rRNA from 1 species